UGAGAAUCACUGCACACUUGUAGCUUUGACGUGAUGUGGAUUUGAAAUUUCUCAUUCUUCUUGAUGUACGGAGUACGAAACAAAUCAUAUUGGAAGAUCUCGAGAACAAAACGUGAACACAAGUGAACGUUUUUUGUUAAAAGAAGAAUGUUUCCGCUCACUUUCAAAAUUACGAAUGAAAUGAAAUUCAUUUAAUAGGAUCCUACAAAACAAGUUGCAACAGAGGAGAUGUUUGUUAAAAUAUUUAUUCAUAAAAUAAAACAAAUAAAUAAAAAUCAAGUUUUCUU
ensembl:lincRNA linc-104 ncRNA